rnacentral:misc_RNA from 1 species
UCCUCUUUACAGAGGCAGUUUGUUCCGAGUUCCCGGCUUUACCCGCUGGUAACAGAACAUGAGGGUUGCGCUCGUUGCGGGACUUAACCCAACAUUUCACAACACGAGCUGACGACAGCCAUGCACCACCUGUGCAACUGCCCGAAGGCGGCUCCUUUUCGGGAGCAUUCAGCUGCAUGUCAAGCCCUGGUAAGGUUCUUCGCGUUGCAUCGAAUUAAGCCACAUGCUCCACCGCUUGUGCGGGCCCCCGCCAAUUCCUUUGAGUUUCAACCUUGCGGCCGUAGUCCCCAGGCGGUUCACUUAAUGCGUUAGCUGCGGCACCGAAGGAAACCCCCGACACCUAGUGAACAUCGUUUAUGGCUAUGACUAC